AGAGUUUGAUUAUGGCUCAGGAUUAACGCUGGCGGCGUGCCUAACACAUGCAAGUCGAACGGAAUAUCUUCGGAUAUUUAGUGGCGAACGGGUGAGUAAUGUACAGGUAAUGUACCUUCGUACUGCGAAUAACAAGCUGAAAAGUUUGCUAAUACGGAAUAGUUUCCUUCGAGGGCAUCCUUAAAGGAAUAAAGAUUUAUCGUGCGGAGAUCAGCCUGUAUCCUAUUAGUUAGUUGGUGGGGUAAUGGCCUACCAAGACGACGAUGGGUAACUGGUCUGAGAGGAUGAGCAGUCACAUUGGAACUGAGAAACGGUCCAAACUCCUACGGGAGGCAGCAGUGAGGAAUUUUGCGCAAUGGGGGAAACCCUGACGCCAGCAACGCCGCGUGAGUGAUGACGGCCUUCGGGUUGUAAAGCUCUGUCGUGUGUGACGAGUAGGGACGGUAACACACAAGGAAGCCUCGGCUAACUACGUGCCAGCCGCCGC
rnacentral:rRNA from 1 species